rnacentral:lncRNA from 1 species
ACUCUAAUAAAAAACAUGUAAUCGUAUUUAUUUUCCUUCCAUUUUGCCAGAGGCGCUGAUGUCGGCAUUGUGAUUGGUGGAACAUGACUUUUGACAAAUCCUGCGCUAUCUGUGAAUCUGUGUUCAGUGUUCGUGUUCGUUCGUUCGUUGUCGUUCAGUUAUUUUCAUGUUAUUUUAUAUGGUCGGUUAUGUGUUGUGUUUGUGUCACCAUAAAAAGCUGAUAUUCAUGCAGUCGUGUUUUUUGAUAUUUUUGUUAUUUUGUAAUCGUGUAUCUUUUUAAAGGUCUAAUGGCUCCGUUCAGCUGUUGUGUGCAGACGGUGGAAAAGUUCAACAAGUAAACAUUUAUUUAAUCCAAAUUAAAUACUCAUAUUUCUAUGUAAAAUGUCACAUUAUUUUAUAAAUAAAUAAGUAAGAAACAAAA